rnacentral:rRNA from 1 species
UACGUAGGGUGCAAGCGUUAAUCGGAAUUACUGGGCGUAAAGCGUGCGCAGGCGGUUAUGUAAGACAGAUGUGAAAUCCCCGGGCUCAACCUGGGAACUGCAUUUGUGACUGCAUAGCGUAGAGUACGGUAGAGGGGGAUGGAAUUCGCGUGUAGCAGUGAAAUGCGUAGAUAUGCGGAGGAACACCGAUGGCGAAGGCAAUCCCCUGGACCUGUACUGACGCUCAUGCA